rnacentral:rRNA from 1 species
CCUACGGGAGGCAGCAGUGAGGAAUAUUGGACAAUGGGCGCAAGCCUGAUCCAACCAUGCCGCGUGCAGGAAGACGGUCCUAUGGAUUGUAAACUGCUUUUAUACAGGAAGAAACACCUCUACGUGUAGAGACUUGACGGUACUGUAUGAAUAAGCAUCGGCUAACUCCGUGCCAGCAGCCGCGGUAAUACGGAGGAUGCAAGCGUUAUCCGGAAUCAUUGGGUUUAAAGGGUCCGUAGGCGGUUUAAUAAGUCAGUGGUGAAAGCCCAUCGCUCAACGAUGGAACGGCCAUUGAUACUGUUAAACUUGAAUUAUUAGGAAGUAACUAGAAUAUGUAGUGUAGCGGUGAAAUGCUUAGAGAUUACAUGGAAUACCAAUUGCGAAGGCAGGUUACUACUAAUAUAUUGACGCUGAUGGACGAAAGCGUUGGGGAGAGACGAGAGUAGUAUACCUACGUAGUACGACGACCGUAACGUAACGUAGGUAGUACUAGUACGUCGUUCGGUAACGUAACUACUAGUAGU